rnacentral:rRNA from 1 species
UACGUAGGGUGCAAGCGUUGUCCGGAAUUAUUGGGCGUAAAGAGCUCGUAGGCGGUUUGUCGCGUCUGCCGUGAAAGUCCGGGGCCCAACUCCGGAUCUGCGGUGGGUACGGGCAGACUAGAGUGAUGUAGGGGAGACUGGAAUUCCUGGUGUAGCGGUGAAAUGCGCAGAUAUCAGGAGGAACACCGAUGGCGAAGGCAGGUCUCUGGGCAUUAACUGACGCUGAGGAGCGAAAGCAUGGGGAGCGAACAGG